AUGCUGGUCAUUCGUGGCUGCUGCUUAUCCUUCUGUGGCUGUGAAAGCACGGGAACAUUAGCUUUUUACAAUUCUGCUCUGCAGAUGCCCCAGCCACACAGGCUGGCGUCGCCUUUAGUAAGGACGGGACGUCUGGUGUCGAGCUCAGAGGAGCGUGUGCUCCCAGAACAGGGGUGUCGUCCGGGGCAGGGGCAGGCGGGGCGCCGUGACUUCCUGGACCGCCUGUGCAGGCCCUUCUCCAGGCAGCCCCGCCGCUGGACUGGGCCGCGAGUGUGGGAGCGGGGGGGCCUUUGGAGAAGGCCAGGCGCGCAUCUUAGUCACUUGUCUGCAGUGGGUACCCCUGGCUGUGAGGCCUCAGGCACCCUCACCCCUCCUGCGACAGACGGUCAGGUCUGGGGCGCAGAAACGGGGUGCAGGGGGCACGCAGCCAGCACUGCCACAGCCUCCGUGCCAGAGACCCAAGCCCGCCUGCAGCUGGGGACAGGUCUGCGCUCCGGGCGUGCAAGUGCCAUCCCCCAGGGGAGCAAGCGGGCAGGACAGCACAGCACGGUCACCACCCUCAGCGCCCCAGCUCCUGGGGAGGGUUUCGCCACUGGAAGAAAGGAUACGCGUGCGGAGGCCGAGUGGUGUGUUUCCCCUUUUGCCUUCCUGGGGUUGGUUUGGUGCCUGUGUUGGCAGAGAUGGGGCCAUGGGGGGGGGGGGCUGUGGGACACUUUGAGCUCAGGGUGCUCCGUGGCACGAACCACGUGGUGGGAGGGUCACCGCGUCCCCAGGAAGGAAGACGUUCGCCCGGGUCAGCGCCGCCUCGUGUGGCUCCGCUCGCCACCGCAGUGGACCCUGGCGAGCAUCCCGCGGGCAGCGCGCGACCGUCUCGGGUCGGCCGACGGUUGGGGUGGACACCUGCUCGGUGACCGUGCAAGACGCCGGCCUGGCUGCCCCACUGCUUGCAAAGGCCCCCUGGGCCCAAGCGGGUUUGAAAGCCAGUGUUCCCAACUGCCGUGCUGGCUGUGCGGCAGCCGUGUGAGGCCCCAGACGGCAUCUGGCCGUCGGAGGUUGAUGCUUGUGGGCUAA
rnacentral:lncRNA from 1 species